GACGAACCGUGCAAACGUUAUUCGGAAUCACUGGGCUUAAAGGGUGCGUAGGCGGGCUCGUAAGUCAGGGGUGAAAGCCCACGGCCCAACCGUGGAAGUGCCUCUGAUACUGCGAGCCUCGAGGGGGAUAGGGGCGUGCGGAACUCAGGGUGGAGCGGUGAAAUGCGUAGGAUACUCGAGGAACACCGGUGGCGAAAGCGGCGCGCUGGAUCCCUACUGACGCUGAGGCACGAAAGCCAGGGGAGCAAACGGG
rnacentral:rRNA from 1 species